UUGCUGAACUUGUUUUAAAUUGGUCCAUUCUUAUUUUUAGUUGUGACAGAAAUAAAAUGUUGCGCAAUGAAGUUUUUAAAAAAUAAAUGGCAACUUCAUGAAAAUUCGUCAGCUCUCAUGCUUAGAUAAUUUUUUAUUUGUAAAUAAUAAGUUUUGUUUCAUGAUUAAUCGUACAAUUUACGGACCAUUCACUCGCUUGCAUCUAUAUUAUCACCCAGUUUUAAAAACAAAAAAAUCACACUCAUCUGAAGUGUUAACAUGUUACAUAAGACAAAAAAAAUAUCCACAAUGGACAUCAUAUUUUGUAAAGUAUCGAAAUGUAAUCAACGAUCAUUUUAGCCUUUCGCAUUUUAAUUGGGAUGUGGAUGGUAUAAAUUAUCAUAUACUUAGAACAGGGUGUUAUCCGUAUAUUAAAUACCACUGUACUAAAAGGCCUUAUCACAAUUUAGAAUUGGAAAACAAGUUUUUUUUGUUAUUAAAAGUGUUAAAUUUAGGUUUGCCCACAUUAGCUUAUGGAAUAGGAGCAUCCAUGUUGAUUAAACAUGAAGAAAUAGUUUCUACUUCUUUAGGUGAUGUAAAAAUAUUUUUUUUAAUUGAAGAAAAAGCAUCCAUGUAUUGAUAUAUUAUAUUAAUAAACAAUUAUUAUAUUCUUUAUAACACAAUAUACAACAAUCAUAAACUUUUCUAAGUAGACUGCACAAAUGUUUUUGCUCUGUCCAAGUGUGAAAAAUUAAAAGUUAAAUUAAAACUCGAUAAUUUUUUGUUUAA